ACUUACCUUAGCACCACCACGGACAGACAGACCGGCCGACGGGUGGUCGUGCUCUCUCCUUCUCACACUCCACCUUGGGUCGCUCCCGCCUCCCUCCUCCCUCUCCAGGCCCAGACUGGAGAAUUUAUUGUCAAAGGAAGCACAUGAUGGGAGCUGUGGCCGCUAGAGCUCUGGAGUCGGAGGGAUGUGGGUGUGAACUCAGUUCCGCCACUGGCCGACUGGGCACAGUCGGGUGCCUGGGCAGGAACACUGUGCUCCUGGUGCUGGCCUUGCCUGCCCGUUGAAGAGGCCCAAGGGUCAGCACCCGCUGCCAGCCAUCUCUCCACCCUUGUGCAGGGGACAGGUCCCAGAGCAUCCCCAUCCACACUGCCAGGUUCUGCUCAAGUAGGUCACACGAAGUGGGUUGCUCUACACUCUGCAAGCAAAGGAAACACGGCUUGUUUUUAAAAUAACGUAUAACAGGUUGCAUAUAUUUUGGUAUAUCCUUGUGAUGGAAUACUAUGCAGCUGUGAAAAAUAAUAAAUAUGUAUGUAUAUAUUUCUACAUUCUAA